GAUGAAGAACGUAGCGAAAUGCGAUAAGUAAUGUGAAUUGCAGAAUUCAGUGAAUCAUCGAAUCUUUGAACGCACAUUGCGCCCGCCAGUAUUCUGGCGGGCAUGCCUGUUCGAGCGUCAUUUCAACCAUCAAGCCCCCGGCUUGUGUUGGGGGCCUGCGGCUGCCGCAGGCCCUGAAAAGCAGUGGCGGGCUCGCUGUCACACCGAGCGUAGUAGCAUACAUCUCGCUCUGGGCGUGCUGCGGGUUCCGGCCGUUAAACCACCUUCAUAACCCAAGGUUGACCUCGGAUCAGGUAGGAAGACCCGCUGAACUUAAGCAUAUCAAUAAGCGGAGGA
rnacentral:misc_RNA from 1 species